GCACAAGCGGUGGAGUAUGUUGUUUAAUUCGAAGAUACACGAAGAACCUUACCAGGUCUUGACAUACCAUUGACAGGCGCAGAGAUGUGCUCUCCUUCGGGCAAUGGAUACAGGUGGUGCAUGGUUGUCGUCAGCUCGUGCCGUGAGGUGUUGGGUUAAGUCCCGCAACGAGCGCAACCCUCAUUGUUAGUUACCACCAUUCAGUUGAGGACUCUAAUGAGACUGCAACGAUAAGUUGGAGAAGGUGGGGAUGACGUCAAAUCAUCAUGCCCUUUAUGACCUGGGCUACAAACGUACUACAAUGGCCAAUACAAAGAGAUGCGAAGCGGUGACGUGGAGCGAACCUCAGAAAGUUGGUCUCAGUUCAGAUUGAAGUCUGCAACUCGACUUCAUGAAGGCGGAAUCGCUAGUAAUCGCGGGUCAGCAGACCGCGGUGAAUACGUUCCCGGGUUUU
rnacentral:rRNA from 1 species